rnacentral:rRNA from 1 species
AUUGAACGCUGGCGGCAUGCCUAACACAUGCAAGUCGAACGGCAGCACGGGAGCUUGCUCCUGGUGGCGAGUGGCGGACGGGUGAGUAAUGCAUAGGAAUCUGCCCAGUAGCGGGGGACAACUUGGGGAAACUCAAGCUAAUACCGCAUACGCCCUACGGGGGAAAGCGGGGGACCUUCGGGCCUCGCACUAUUGGAUGAGCCUAUGUCAGAUUAGCGUUGUUGGUGGGGUAAAGGCCUACCAAGGCGACGAUCUGUAGCUGGUCUGAGAGGACGAUCAGCCACACUGGGACUGAGACACGGCCCAGACUCCUACGGGAGGCAGCAGUGGGGAAUAUUGCACAAUGGGCGAAAGCCUGAUGCAGCAAUGCCGCGUGUGUGAAGAAGGCCUGCGGGUUGUAAAGCACUUUCAGUAGGGAGGAAACAGUAGCCGGUUAAUAUCCGGUUGCCUUGACGUUACCUACAGAAGAAGCACCGGCUAACUCUGUG